AGUAGGUAUAAAAUGACUUGUAAUACAGAGGACUGUAGCUGUCCAACCAUGUCUGUAGCUCUGUGUAUUAAUGGCUUUCUCAAAGCUGCUCUUGCUCAGAGCUUCUGUGGCGUAUAACAUCACUCAAAAUCUACAUGUGGUCAGGAAGUACACCUCUUUGUGCUUCUUGGAUGAUGUGAAGAGGCUGAUGUGCGGUUUGCAGCAGCCAAUAGCAGAGCAGUGGAAUGUUCCGGCCCCCGUGUUGUGGAUUGAGGCGCCUUUGUCUAAUAAUGUGUCCAUUCCUGUCCCAGAUGCAUGAAGAUGAACGGAGAGAUGAGUCAUCAUGGAGAGAGGGAUCUGCUGAACGAGGGAAGAAGAGUGAGGACGAGGUGGAAGAAACGCGCCAUUCCUCGUCUUCACCGCUGUAACACGGCUCUCUGUUCUGCACUGCGCUGCGGACGCCAAAUGUUCCUGUGGCUCAACCAAAUGGAUCUACCGUGGAACAAUCACCAACCGCAAUGUGCUGCUGUUCCUGAAGAGGGCCUCAGAGGACUGAUGAUGUGAAUUACAGAGACCUGAUUGGUCACACCACUGCAUGAUACAAAUGAACACAUGUUUACAUGUUGUCUUUAUUAAAGUAUUAAUCACCUGAA